rnacentral:rRNA from 1 species
UACAGAGACCUCAAGCGUUAUCCGGAAUCAUUGGGCGUAAAGCGUACCGAUAGGUGGUUUAGCAAGUCAGAAGUGAAAUCUCCGAGCUUAACUCGGAAUCUGUCUUUUGAAACUGCUAAACUGGAGGGUCAAAGAGGAAGCUGGAACGAACGGUGUAGUAGUGAAAUGCGUUGAUAUCGUUCGGAACACCAAUAGCGUAGGCAGGCUUCUGGGUGCCACCUGACACUGCUAGGACGAAAGCGUGGGUAGCGAAUGGG